GGAAAGAGAAAUCCCAAAGAUUUCUCAAAUCUCUCUCACUGUUCACAAAUCUCACGUUUCCCUCUCACCUAUUACUACUACCUACCACUACCUCACUUCCGCUCUCUCUCACACGUUUCCUUCACUCACGAAAACAAAAAACAAAAAAAGGAAAUUAAAAUAUUUUUGGGAUCUCUCUCAUCACUAUACACCAAGAACCUACCACUACCUCACUCGCUGAGUACUCUCACACGUUUCCUUCUCUCUCUCUGAAAACGUUAAAAAAAGGAAAAAAAGAAAGAUUAAAAAUCUCACUGAUCAAGGUUUCCUUUUUCCCUCAACAACGAACUCCGCCUUCCUCUUCAUCACACAAACACACAAAUUAACCACCCUCGUCUCCGUGCAACCCUCCGUCGUGAGCCGACGUUUCUCUCUCCGUCUUCUCCAUCCAUCGCGCGACCUUCACUUUCAUCGCUCCACCUCCGCCACUCAACAUCUCGCUCCGACCACAUCUCCGACCGGCGCCGCGCCUUCACUCCAAGCUCCACCGUCACGCCAACAACCCCGGUUGCCUCACACGCGCUCCUCCGUGUCACCAUCACCAUCUCCGCCGCCCGUGUAAUAACAUUAUACAUGAACCAAGUAAUUUUUGGAGAUCAUUGGAUCGGCUGUAUAGCUUCUCGUUAACAUUUUGGUAUUGGUAAGAAGAACUUGUUUUGAACAUAUUGAUGUGCUUAAGGUUGUUUCUACAUAAGCCAUAUGUUUGUGUGUUAGGUUGGUUUCAGUAAAGGGACAUUUAUUGGAGUUCAUUGAUUGAAUACUUUGUUUAGGUUUCUGGUGUUUCAGUUUUCAUUCUGAUUAUGCAGGUUCUGCUACAGUAAUAAUAGUUUGUUCAAGAUUAAUUGUUCAUCAUUAGUGGGGUAACAACUAUUAUUUCUAUUGUUGGGUUCUGGUCUUAUGUCGAUAUGAAGAUUUCAAAUUACAUUACCGGAUUCAUUUUCACAAAGCAUUUUAGUAUGAGGUGCAUUUUGAUUUUGAUUUAUAUGACGGAUUCCAGUUUAUAUUGUAUUGAUUGUAUGUGAAACAAGUAUUUUAGUGUUUGGGGUAAAAAGAAAAAAAGACUUGAUUAUUUUCCAUUGAUUUCGAGUUGAUGAAAUAAUACUUGACUCUAUUUUGAGGUUUUCAGGACUAUUAAGAAUACACACUUAUCAUUUAUGUACAAAAAUCGGGUAAUUGUUUGUUUGUAUGUGAUUUUUGUUUAAUAUUUAACUAGUUAUUCAACUAUUGGAGUUUAAUAUUUGAAAUUAGUACAACUUUGUAAAUAUUGAAGCGCUGCUGCAGGAAGCUAAUAAUCAAUUUUGAUUUGGAAUUUUUUGUGUAAAAAAUGUGAUGAUUAGAUAAGUUAUUGAUGGGUCUAUAGCCAUGAAUAAUUUUGAAAUGCGUCUCAUUGGUUUCUUCUAUGACUCGUGGUCGUAUACCCAAUUAAUUUUUGUCUGAUGUAUGCUUGUUAUGGGUAUCUAAUCG
rnacentral:lncRNA from 1 species